rnacentral:rRNA from 1 species
GACGAACGCUGGCGGCGUGCUUAACACAUGCAAGUUGAACGUGAUUUUAUAGACAGAUUUCUUCGGAAUGACGAUUAUAAAUGAAAGUAGCGAACGGGUGAGUAACACGUGAGAAACCUGCCUUUCACAAAGGGAUAGCCUCGGGAAACCGGGAUUAAUACCUUAUGAUACAUAGAAAUCGCAUGAUAGUUAUGUUAAAGAUUUUAUCGGUGAAAGAUGGUCUCGCGUCUGAUUAGCUAGUUGGUGGGUAAAGGCCUACCAAGGCGAUGAUCAGUAGCCGGAUUGAGAGGUUGAACGGCCACACUGGAACUGAGACACGGUCCAGACUCCUACGGGAGGCAGCAGUGGGGAAUUUUGCACAAUGGGGGAAACCCUGAUGCAGCGACGCCGCGUGUACGAUGAAGAUCUUCGGAUUGUAAAGUACUGUCCUUGGUGAAGAUAAUGACUGUAACCAAGAAGCAAGCCUGGCUAAAUACGUGCCAGCAGCCGC